UGGUUCUGGCAUCGAUGAAGAACGCAGCGAAAUGCGAUAAGUAAUGUGAAUUGCAGAAUUCAGUGAAUCAUCGAAUCUUUGAACGCACAUUGCGCCCCUUGGUAUUCCGGGGGGCAUGCCUGUUCGAGCGUCAUUACAACCCUCAAGCCUAGCUUGGUACUGGGCCUCGCCGUUCACGCGGCGGGCCUUAAAAUCAGUGGCGGUGCCUCCGUAGCCCUGAGCGUAGUACAUCUCCUCGCUCUAGGGAUGCGGUGGUGCCUGCCAGCGACCCCCAACUCUUAGUUUGACCUCGGAUCAGGUAGGGAUACCCGCUGA
rnacentral:misc_RNA from 1 species